rnacentral:other from 1 species
UCAACCCUCGGGUAAUCGCUAAUCUUGACUAAGUCUCUGAGCCGAUAAGCAUUAUCCUGGUAAUCUGGCCUGAAUGCUAUUGUGCAAGCUCAACUUCGUGUUUUUAACAUGCUGAAUUGAGAAGCCUACGGCAAACACUGGAAUGCCAACUUUGACCUUCGGGUUCAAAGUUACAGUCAAAAACGCUACCCUUGGGUUAUUC